AGCAGCCGCGGUAAUUCCAGCUCCAAUAGCGUAUAUUAAAGUUGUUGCAGUUAAAAAGCUCGUAGUUGAAUUUCGGGAUCAAUACGUCGGUCGUGCUUCGGUACGUACUGCGUAAUUGAUUUCUCCCUUCGGACGAACCAUGAUGUCAUUAACUUGGUGUCAUGGGAAAUCAGGACUGUUACUUUGAAAAAAUUAGAGUGUUUAAAGCAGGCUCACGCUUGAAUACAUUAGCAUGGAAUAAUGAAAUAGGACGUUCGAUCCUAUUUUGUUGGUUUUUAGGAUCAACGUAAUGAUUAAUAGGGAUAGUUGGGGGCAUUAGUAUUCAAUUGUCAGAGGUGAAAUUCUUGGAUUUAUUGAAGACUAACUACUGCGAAAGCAUUUGCCAAGGAUGUUUUCAUUAAUCAAGAACGAAAGUUAGGGGAUCGAAGACGAUCAGAUACCGUCGUAGUCUUAACCAUAGACUAUGCCGACUAGGGAUCGGAUGAUGUUAAUUUUUAAUGUACUCAUUCGGCGCCUUACG
rnacentral:rRNA from 1 species